UCUGUUAGUUACAAUCCAAUUGCGCGACUCACUGCUGGAGAAUGAACUGUUGAACACUGCCGCAGGUCUACGGAGAAGUCUCGAAGCUAGCAAAUCUCACUACACAACUCUCUAUAGAAACUCCCACCACUCACCAGCCGUCCAUGGGAGUGAGAUGGUUUGUAAGAUGUGCGAAAGAAGUGGCUGGUAGUGGACAAAAUAUUUAAAAUUCAACGGAAAUGUUUUGCGUCUUUAAAGGACCCCAAAUGGGUCAUAAAAACAAAAUUACUUUUCUUACUAGACCAUACAGCGAAGAGAGAAAAAUUAUAUCGAGCGGCAAAUAUAAUGGAUGGUAAUAUUGCGAGUAAAUUGUGAGAAACACAGUAAAAAUAUUUUAUAGGGAAGACUGGGGAUGAUUGAUUCUCACAAUGCAAUUAAAAAAAUAAUAUAUUUUGAGAAUUAUUUUAAAAGGAUUUCUCGCGAAUUUUAACACCUGAAAAUCGACUUGAAUGGUUAGCCAGAAUCUGACUCAAGUGAAAUUCUAAGUUUUUGAAGAACUGCGGGGAUGAGUUGUAUUUUUUUUCAAAAUUGAAUUGUUUUUAAGUUUGUUUAGCAUAGCUUUAUUAAAACCAUGGAAAAAAUUUAAUUUUAAAAAUAGAUUUUUUUUAUUGAAAAACUGAACUUUUUUUUUGGCUUGAAAAGCUUGAUUAAAUAAGAGGAUACAAUUAAUGAGAAAUUCACAAAUGAGUCUUCACAAAAACACUCACAGGGCCCCAGUCUCCUGUAAUGGGAUGCAAUAAAAAGAAGAAGCGUGGAAGGAAAUAUUAGAUCUGAAAAAAUAAUUAUUAGUGAAAUUUUUAUUACAAAUUGGUGGGCAAAUGAUUUUUUUUAUUGAACUCCGUUAAAUGGUCUCGUGGUUUUGGUGUUUCUGGGUGACACCAAACAAUCAAAACUACCAUAAGAUUUUCCUCUCACACAGAGUAAUUUAGUGACACACAAUUGCGAUAGUUUUUCAAAAAAAAAAAAAGAUAUCCAUCUAUCAAUUUCAUUAACGGUCCUUUUCAUGCAAUUUUUCAUUAAGUUCCAUUUUAUUGCCAUAAAUCAUCUUGAGAUGAAUGGGAAAUGUUGUUGAGAGGUCUUUCGGAUAAUACUCUUCAUGCGUUUCAAUUGAUUUUCUUAUCAAACUGAAAAUGCCAUAUGUUUAUUUUUUUGCAGGAAAUUCCACAGAGUUUAGUAAGAAUUUGUUGGGAAUUUAUAGAGGCGUUUCUUGGGUGCGAUUGCAAGAGCUGCGAGCUCUUGAUAAAGUAAAAUAUAGAAAUGGAAUCAGUCGACAAACUGGUCAUUCAGUUGAUUCAGAAAAUGAAACUAGAAAUAGGAAUCUUUAAUGUUCUGUAGGCCUCAUAUUCAUUUAUAAUUUAUUUUAUAAAAUCAUUUAAAAUUUAUUUUUAAAAAUUCUUUGUAGACUUUCUCAAGUUUCAUUAAGAAAACAACACGAUGAAAGUUCUUUCUAUAACUUUUUAUAAUAACUUGCUAUAUAUUUAAUAUGAAAGUUGACCGUGUCUUUCACUCUGCUCUACGUUUGUAGAAAGGUUGUAAAUAGCUGCAAUGCAUUCUGUACAAGAGAAUAUAAACGAAUUUUCAUGUUUCUCAAUUAAAGAAGAAAUUACUUUCUCAAAUGGAGAAAGAAGAAUAAAUGUUUUAGCUUAAGAAA